AUUGAACGCUGGCGGCAGGCCUAACACAUGCAAGUCGAACGGUAACAGAAAGCAGCUUGCUGCUUUGCUGACGAGUGGCGGACGGGUGAGUAAUGUCUGGGAAACUGCCUGAUGGAGGGGGAUAACUACUGGAAACGGUAGCUAAUACCGCAUAACGUCGCAAGACCAAAGAGGGGGACCUUCGGGCCUCUUGCCAUCGGCUGUGCCCAGAUGGGAUUAGCUUGUUGGUGGGGUAACGGCUCACCAAGGCGACGAUCCCUAGCUGGUCUGAGAGGAUGACCAGCCACACUGGAACUGAGACACGGUCCAGACUCCUACGGGAGGCAGCAGUGGGGAAUAUUGCACAAUGGGCGCAAGCCUGAUGCAGCCAUGCCGCGUGUAUGAAGAAGGCCUUCGGGUUGUAAAGUACUUUCAGCGGGGAGGAAGGGAGUAAAGUUAAUACCUUUGCUCAUUGACGUUACCCGCAGAAGAAGCACCGGCUAACUCCGUG
rnacentral:rRNA from 1 species